rnacentral:piRNA from 1 species
UNGGUGAAGGAACUGCUAUAUCAGCUCAAU